CCGGCAUAGUCUGAUGGGUCAUGUUUUGUUGUGCCGUGUGCAACUUGAUGCCUUGACGGCUGUAAACCUCUUUUUUCUUGGAAAAAAAUCUGACGGUACUUGAGGAAUAGACCGCGGCUAAUUCCGUGCGAUCGGCCGCGUUCAUGCCGGAGUGCCCGGCGUUAUCCAGAAUCAUUGCGUUUACCGCAUCCACUGGCUUUCCUUCAAGUCUGCUGUUAAAAUUUGGACCUUAACUCCAUCAUGGCACUGAACUCUGUUGCUCUUGUUUGUGCUAGGGGCCUAGAGUUUUCCCGGUGUAGCUGUAAUAUGCGUAGAUAUCGAGAAAAACACCAAUGGCAAACGCACUCUGCUGUGCCAACGCUGACUCUCAUGCACAAAUGCCCGGUGAGCGAAGGAAAUUAGAUACCCCUGUAGUCCUGGAUACACUGGAAGACCACUCCGUGUCCGAUGAAUCCACCCCGUCGGUGUCAUACCCAACGCGUUAAGUGUUCCGCCUGGGGAGUACCCACGCAAGUGUGAAACUCAAAUGAAUUGACGGAAAUGAAUUGACGG
rnacentral:rRNA from 1 species